AGUGAACGCUGGCGGUAGGCCUAACACAUGCAAGUCGAACGGCAGCACAGUAAGAGCUUGCUCUUACGGGUGGCGAGUGGCGGACGGGUGAGGAAUACAUCGGAAUCUACUUUUUCGUGGGGGAUAACGUAGGGAAACUUACGCUAAUACCGCAUACGACCUACGGGUGAAAGCAGGGGAUCUUCGGACCUUGCGCGAUUGAAUGAGCCGAUGUCGGAUUGGCUAGUUGGCGGGGUAAAGGCCCACCAAGGCGACGAUCCGUAGCUGGUCUGAGAGGAUGAUCAGCCACGCUGGAACUGAGACACGGUCCAGACUCCUACGGGAGGCAGCAGUGGGGAAUAUUGGACAAUGGGCGCAAGCCUGAUCCAGCCAUACCGCGUGGGUGAAGAAGGCCUUCGGGUUGUAAAGCCCUUUUGUUGGGAAAGAAAAGCAGCAGGUUAAUACCCCGCUGUUCUGACGGUACCCAAAGAAUAGGCACCGGCUAACUUCGUG
rnacentral:rRNA from 1 species